CGAUUCCUCUGCCCUGGACAGAGAGCGGUGUCUCAUAACAGUUUGGAAACUACAAAAGUUUCCCUGGCAGGAUGAAUGAUUGACUCGGCAACAUGUUCUUGCCUUUUGGAGUUGCCCUCCAAUUUUUCCAGGCUUGAUUCUGUAAAUCAUUUCAUCUUGUAAAAAUACUGGGCUGUGAGCACGGAUGAUCUCAAAGAUGAGGAAACAGAAGCUGGGAUAUGUGAGUAAACAUUUCCAAGGUCCUGCAGCUAAUCAAUGGUUGACAACUUCUUUCCUCUGCCUAUGUUGCCAUCCAUGUCAUGGUUUGUGUCAAGACUCUAGGAGAAGUCUACCAUCAGCACCACAGCUACUGUGCACAAAUCCAGAAUGCCAGACUGAAGUCAGAAGGAAAGGUAAAAGUCCAAUUCUUAGAUGGCAAUUCAGACUUAGAAAACAGAAUGAGAAAAAGCAGUGGUGUCCAUCUCUCCUCAACGAUGAAUUCAUGUCUUAAAAUGUAUCUGCAUCUAUUUCUUUCUGUCUACCAUCCAUCCAUCCAUCCACCCAUCUUUCCUUCUUUCUUCUUUCUCUUUCUCUCCCUCCUUCCUUCUCUUCCUUCGUUUUCAUAAGUAAAACUAGUACUAAUGCAGAAGUCUGAAAUUAGACUUUAAAAAUGAGUACUACUCUUUUUUUCCCCCUUUUUGAGAGAGCUGGUGAUUUUCUUCCUUGCUUGGCAUUAACUGUCUUACUGUCUUAUGAUACUUAUCUUUAAUGUGGCAUAUCAGAGAACCUCUUUGAAAAUGUUACGGCUUAAUGCGGCUCAGGGAAAUAAAAGCCCACUUUAAGAAAGCCAAAAUAAAGCUUUCUGAUACGGACUUCACAAUUAAUUUUUGAGAAGGUCCACUUUCAUAUGCAAGCAAAUCUGUUUAGAAAUGUUUUAAAUUUUAAAGCAUGAAUACACAUAUAAAACUCAUUUAUGUGUUUUUAAAUGCUGUUUAAAAUUUUAAAGCAUAUAUAGAGAGCAAGAGAGGGUGCUCAAUAUGCAUCAUAAUAGCAUGAGAACUGAAAAAUAAAAGUUUACUUGCAAACUUAACCGGCUUUGCAAUGCAACAGACUAAACAAGUCACAUUUUAUACAAUGUAUAUGUUUAUAAUAUGAGUGCAGCAUGCCAAUGUGCUAUUUAGAUCAUUGUCCUGGUUGAAUGAACAAGCUCACAGGUUCACCAUUUAAUAUUUGUUCUCUUAAAAACAUGAAACUUGUUUUGAAAAUACCGGCUUAAAUGGGCAUUAUUAAGUCUUU
rnacentral:lncRNA from 1 species